AAUACCCACAGACAAGGCACGGGUGGUGGGUCACCAAAGGCUGACCUUACCCCAGCAGAGGACAUGGCCUUGGAGCUAAAUAAAGGCAGGCCCGUCUUAGAGGGGAUCCCUGGGGGGAAAGAGACGAGCAUAGGUUCCUCCCAAGAUGCCACCCGCUUCAUUCAAGCACUGUGUUCCUGUUAGAGCCACCAGCACAAGCACCAGACGAUGCUGAUCCAGGUGAAGGCCCCAGUGCAGCAGCAACAGCACAUGAUGGAGACGAUGAUGAGGAGGAGACCAUCUCUCUGGAUUCCAGAAGGCAUGAGGACCCAGAUGCUAUACAGUGGGAAAACCAGCCUGGCAACAUAAGCUCACAAGCUAUCAGAAAGUUGUAUGGCAACCACCUCCGGCGCCAAAUAGAACUGGCAGACAUAGACAUUCAGUACAAGAAGAGAAAAGAUGGAAAAUCUUGCACUGGAGUCC